GAAUCUGGAGACAGGUGACGUGCAUGGCUGUCGUCAGCUCGUGUCGUGAGAGUGUUGGGUUAAAGUCCCCGCAACGAGCGCAACCCUUGUCCUUAGUUACCAGCACGUUAUGGUGGGCACUCUAAGGAGACUGCCGGUGACAAACCGGAGGAAGGUGGGGAUGACGUCAAGUCAUCAUGGCCCUUACGGCCUGGCUACACACGUGCUACAAUGGUCGGUACAAAGGGUUGCCAAGCCGCGAGGUGGAGCUAAUCCCAUAAAACCGAUCGUAGUCCGGAUCGCAGUCUGCAACUCGACUGCGUGAAGUCGGAAUCGCUAGUAAUCGUGAAUCAGAAUGUCACGGUGAAUACGUUCCCGGGCCUU
rnacentral:rRNA from 1 species